AAAUGCGAUAAGUAAUGUGAAUUGCAGAAUUCAGUGAAUCAUCGAAUCUUUGAACGCACAUUGCGCCCCUUGGUAUUCCAUGGGGCAUGCCUGUUCGAGCGUCAUUUGUACCCUCAAGCUCUGCUUGGUGUUGGGUGUUUGUCCCGUCUCCGCGCGUGGACUCGCCCCAAAGUGAUUGGCAGCCGGCGUACUGGUCCCGGAGCGCAGCACAUGUCGCGCAAACGAGUGCCUUGGUACGGCGGCGUCCAUAAGCCCCUCUCUCACGCUCUUGACCUCGGAUCAGGUAGGGAUACCCGCUGAACUUAAGC
rnacentral:misc_RNA from 1 species